CCAAUGUCUUCCUGCUGGUUCGUUUUCCGUGACCAAUGGGGUACUCAUGUAUAGGCUCCAACUUAUGGUGCCUUCUCUCCGAGCAUGUCUAGCUCCCCGAGGUUGUAUUGUUGUUGGAGUGGAGGUCGACAUCAAAGAACGAGUUCGCUUCAUCCAGCGCUGGUCCAAGGAUGUCUUUGAGGCCGUUUGCCAUGCAUUAUUGAUUGUUUGGAGGCGCUUGGAUCAGCCAGGUGCUCCUCAGUUGAUGUUCCACUACUUUGAUCUUUUGACUUAGGUAAAGUCAGUUGCUGAUCUGCGUCUAUAUGAAGCAGAUCGUGCUCUGAAAAUGAUGGCUUUGAACUGGUGUGAUCGUGUUCUGAAAACUUACCAACCUAAUCAUCAACGUCAUCCUCUUCAUAAUCAUCAACAUUUUCCACUUAAUCCUUAUUCUCCUCUUUUUCUUUUCCAUUAUCAAAGACCACCCGCCGCUUCAAAAAAGAUAUUAUUAAAAAAAUUUGAAUUUCAGUCCCGGCACCCUUCCCCC